GCACCUUUGUAACAAAAUUUAUCUUUGAGCAAUUCUAUAUUUUAUGCGAAACCGCUGAAAAUUAAAUUUUCUCCUAUAGCACACGAAUUGACCGAACACCAUGACCAUUGUCAAACCAUGGAUAAUAAAAUAAAUGGAUAGGAAACUAGCUGACGUGACCUAAUGUUUUCAAUGGGCUGAUGGCGUGGUUGGAUGUUGGAAACCUA